rnacentral:rRNA from 1 species
UGGGGAAUUUUGGACAAUGGGCGAAAGCCUGAUCCAGCAAUGCCGCGUGUGUGAAGAAGGCCUUCGGGUUGUAAAGCACUUUUGUCCGGAAAGAAAUCCUUGGCUCUAAUACAGUCGGGGGAUGACGGUACCGGAAGAAUAAGCACCGGCUAACUACGUGCCAGCAGCCGCGGUAAUACGUAGGGUGCAAGCGUUAAUCGGAAUUACUGGGCGUAAAGCGUGCGCAGGCGGUUUGCUAAGACCGAUGUGAAAUCCCCGGGCUCAACCUGGGAACUGCAUUGGUGACUGGCAGGCUAGAGUAUGGCAGAGGGGGGUAGAAUUCCACGUGUAGCAGUGAAAUGCGUAGAGAUGUGGAGGAAUACCGAUGGCGAAGGCAGCCCCUGGCAAUACUGACGCUCAUGCACGAAAGCGUGGGGAGCAAAACAGGAUUAGAUACCCUGGUAGUCCACGCCCUAAAACGAUGUCAACUAGUUGUUGGGGAUUCAUUUCCUUAGUAACGUAGCUAACGCGUGAAGUUGACCGCCUGGGGAGUACGGUCGCAAGAUUAAAACUUAAAUGAAUUGACGGGGUCAUAGCUG